GUGCGGUCUGGGGGAGCGAAACGAAAACAAAACUGUGGUGCCGCCUUCAACACCAACGACAGUUAUUUCUUUAGCUUUUAAGGUGCCGUUAUGGGUUUGUUUCGGGUGGCUAGCCGGGUUGGUCUGGAGCAGAAGAGCAAGAUUCGGGUCCAAUAAACACCUCAAAGGUCCACUAGAUUUCCAGGGUGUUUCCACAAUGGGUGAAAGUUGUUAGAAGACAAUCCACUGAUGGCUCCGUUGCAUCACCCAUCAGAGCUUGGUCCAGGACAGCCUGGCUCAGCUGAAGGGAGAGGACAGCCAUGGCUGGGUACCAGAGCAGCUCACGGGACUGAAAAAGCAAAAUGCAAAUGUCACCAGCGUUCAAAAUGGGAGGGAACUUUCCAGACAUCAAAACGGAGGAGAGGAGGAGAAUGUUAUCCACUUUGAAGCAACAUAGGGAAGAAAGAAGGGUAUAAAAUGAAGUAAAUAAAAAUGUCUCCUUUACACAACUCUUCCUCCUUUUUUACCACCAUGGGUGUGUCCAUAGUGUUGCUGUUUCCUGCACCAUACCCCUUCCUUCACAAGUAAAAUAUUUGUGGAAAGCCUUGCCAGUUUCACCAGUGUACCUUUUCUCUUGGAAGGUGUAUGCUUGCAUAUGGGCUCUAGUGAAAUGUAAGCAAUUCAUUUUUGAUUUAUCCAAGAAACUAAAGAAGCAACCGUUUCAAAGGACUGCAGAGAGGUUGAAGCCCCCCCGCCCCAACUCUGCUAGUUUCUCCUGAGAACAGAUGGGGGCGUCCACCAGAAAAAAGGGAGAUUUGACAAAAAUGAGUGCUGGAUGAAACGAAGAUUUCCCCAGCCUUUUUUUCCCCACUGGAAGAAUAUGAGAAGCAUAAAAGAAAUCAGCAUUUUUUUAUUAUCAAAUUGUUUGAAAAAUGCAUGUAUGAUCUCAGCCUUAAUUUGAACUAAACUUCUGCAUAACCAGAGGUGAGGAAGCUUUUUAUACACCCACACAGAUCAAAGUCCUUUUAGCAGAGGAAAUGAAGAGAAUAAACAAAAGAGUAUCUUACAGUACAGAUGGCUACAUGAUUAUAUAAGAAACUCUACCUUUGCAGUAGAAAAAAGGUCUGCCCUUACUGGCACGAGUAGAUCUGCACAAAUAUUAAUAUGCCACAGAUGAGUUAACCAUCAAUUUGUGCUGAAAAUAGCUACAAGAACUAGAUAAACAUCAAAGCCUGUAGAAGCAUGUACUUAACUCUGCUCAGGGCUGUGUGUCUGCUGCUAGCUUGUGGGAGCAGACAGAAUGUUGUAUCUCAGCUUUCAUUUUAUAAAGUUUCUAGCCCUUAUGGCUAUCAAAAAAAAAGCCAGAGAAGUUUGCAGCUGUCAACAUGCUGACUGAGAAAUAAGUGUAAUUGAAGUGUAAUGCUUGAGAUCGUGCCAUAAGAUUUCAAGUUGUCAAGGAAUUGGGUCUCAGUAUGCUACAUAGCUCCCUGCCCUCCA